CUCCCACAGGGGGGAGAGGCAGAAUAUUAUCAGACCCGCAGGAAAUUGCCAUUGUUGACAUGGUAAUUGGAAACAAUGCAAUAAAACUGUGGAAAAUUCGGGACAAAGUGCAGGCAGACAAUAUCACUUUUGGGAAUGUGAAUACGAUCAGUACAGCGACAAUUGCCAGAGUCCUAGAGAAACAUAAAAUAAGGAUGAAGCCGUUGUACACUGUACCCUUUGAGAGAAACGGUGAACGUGUGAAAGAACUCCGGUAUCAGUAUGUCCAGAGAGUAAUGGAGAUGGAAGCCAGGCAAACUGCACAUACAUUCAUCUUUGUGGAUGAAGCUGGAUUCAACCUGGCAAAAACCCGCCGCAGGGGAAAAAUGUGAUUGGACAGAGAGCAACCGUGGAUGUCCCAGGCCAGAGAGGAGCUAACAUCACAAUGUGUGCAGCACUGUUCAAUGAUGGUUUGCUGUUACACAAACCACACAUUGGUCCCU